UGGGGAAUUUUGCACAAUGGGGGAAACCCUGAUGCAGCGACGCCGCGUGAUUUAGAAGGCCUUCGGGUUGUAAAAAUCUUUUGUAUGGGAUGAAAAUGACAGUACCAUAAGAAUAAGGUCCGGCUAAAUACGUGCCAGCAGCCGCGGUAAUACGUAUGGACCGAGCGUUGUCCGGAAUCAUUGGGCGUAAAGGGUACGUAGGCGGCCCAGUAAGUUAGAAGUGAAAUAAUAUAGCUCAACUAUAUAAAGCUUUUAAAACUGCUAGGCUUGAGAGAUGGAAGGGAAAGUGGAAUUCCUAGUGUAGCGGUGAAAUGCGCAGAUAUUAGGAAGAAUACCGGUGGCGAAGGCGACUUUCUGGUCAUCAUCUGACGCUGAGGUACGAAAGCGUGGGUAGCAAACAGG
rnacentral:rRNA from 1 species